CUUGUUGGAAGACAGAUGAAUAAUCCUAAAUGUCAUGCCAUGUUCCUAAUGGAGACUGGAGAGAUCUUACAAAAUCAAAGUUUAGAUAAAACAAAGGAGACAGCAGUUAGAAUUAAUCUAUGAAUUAGCUAUUGAAGCUAGUCGUUCAACAUUAUCAAGUAACAGUGUUCUACAAGACACUGCUGUUACAGUUCCACAUCACACUUUAGAUGUUUUAGCUGAUAUUUCUUAGUAUGUGUAUGAAGCAAGAAAGAUGCCAAAAUCUUUUUUGUGUCAACAUGUGCGUCCAAAAUGGGUAGAAGCUGAAUACCCAAUUUCAAUUGAAUGUCUUCAAGUAUAGUAGUUUUCAUUAAUAUUUGUAUUUUAUAAACAAUAACUUUUUUAUAUGUGGCUCACUUUAUUUGACUAGUAGUAUACCUUAUUAUAUCUUACUUAUUACUAAAACAAAAUUA